GUAACGAUGGCCACGCUGUCUCCACCCGAGACUCAGUGAAAUCGAAAUCGCUGUGAAGAUGCAGUGUACCCGCGGCUAGACGGAAAGACCCCGUGAACCUUUACUACAGCUUUACGCUGGUUUUUGAGCAUUCUUGUGUAGGAUAGGUGGGAGGCUUUGAAACGGGCACGCUAGUGUUCGUGGAGCCGCCCUUGAAAUACCACCCUGGACCUAUUUGGUAUCUAACACUAUCCCGUGAAUCCGGG
rnacentral:rRNA from 1 species